rnacentral:rRNA from 1 species
AACGAACGCUGGCGGCGUGGAUAAGACAUGCAAGUCGAACGGGACAGACCGAGUAGCAAUAUUUGGAAUGUUCAGUGGCGAACGGGUGCGUAACACGUGGAUAACAUUCCGGAAAGCGGGGAAUAGCCCAGGGAAACUUGGAUUAAUACCGCAUGUGGCCGCAAGGCUAAAGACGGGGACCGCAAGGCCUGUCACUUUCCGAUUGGUCCGCGGCCUAUCAGCUAGGUGGCGGGGUAAUGGCCCACCAAGGCUACGACGGGUAGCUGGUCUUAGAGGACGACCAGCCACACUGGAACUGAGACACGGUCCAGACACCUACGGGUGGCAGCAGUCGAGAAUCUUUCACAAUGGGGGCAACCCUGAUGGAGCGACGCCGCGUGGAGGAUAAGGUCUUCGGAUUGUAAACUCCUGUCAUGCGAGAACAAGGUACUCAGGCUAAUAACCUGAUUGUUUGAUGGUACCGCAAGAGGAAGAGACGGCCAACUCUGUGCCAGCAGCCGCAGUAAUAC